UCUUAUGUUUUUUUUGUGUCUUUUAGACCCAAACUACGGGAAAAUCUCAUUGACAGAGACACCACUGCAUCCCAGAAACGUCCAAACUCCAGAUCCUGAGGACACGACUCAGAGAAACACAGGUCGGUCCAGGGUCGCUGUGCUGAUCUCCAUCAUCAUCACUGUUUCUUUACUUGUAGUCGCUGCACUUGCUGCUUAUUUCUCUCGCCAAAAGAAGCAUUCGGGGGACCAGGGGAUCCAAAGUCAUAACAAUUACUAGUGCUUUGCACAAAGGAUUGUUGGUGUUAAUGGAGUGGAGAGCGUUGGUUUAUCUUUUCUGGAUCCUGACAAUUUGGUUGGGGAUUCAAACAAGCAGCCACAGGGAGACACUUCAGUCCAGCAGCACUGAGAUCAUCACAAGGUCACUUUUACAAAAGUGUUUAACAACUAUCAGAUAAAACACAGAGUGAAUGCUACACAGUAAAUAAAUGAAAGACGUUACAUGUAAGUUAUUAUCAUCAUAAAUAGCAAGAAGUCUGAGAGCACGAAGCUCUGCUGAGGAAAGUAUUUACUUAAAAAAAAAGUUUUCUAUUUUGUAUGUGUUCGUUUUGUUUUCUUUGUUUGUUUGUACUUUAUGAAGUUUGCAAAGUAGUAAAUAUGUGAUAAUAAUCUGACAGAUGUUUACUUUGAUUGCACAAACAUUAUGUAGGAGUCAUGGAUGAAUAACAGGUAUUUAUUUGUAAAUAACUGACUAUACAAAACUUGAGCUGAUUAUUUAAUUUUACACUAUAGUAUAUUUCUGACUAACUGGGCAGCUUACCAUCUUUCUCUGGGGUCAACUUAAAAAAGCUUUUAUUUGGUAUAGAAAUUCACAGUUAACCUCGCUGAUGUGAAGCAUGCUUAAACUUGACCAAGAGUGGAGAGAUGGUGUCUUUGAUUUUUAAAUGUUUGUCUUGACAUUUGUUCUACUUAUUUUUAUUUUUUAUGAACUUUAGCGUGUUUCUUUUAUUUGUCUUUAAUGUUUAA